UCAAACUAAUUAUUAGAAUGUCAAAAUCUUUUGAAACAUUGCUUAUUAUGUUUGAGUAUCCUACAUAAUUAUUUUGAUAGUUCAACAAA